ensembl:lncRNA novel transcript
AAUACACGCUAAAGUCUGGAGGACAGAUACUUCCUUUUCCAGAUAAACUUACAGAUCCAGAUGAAGGUACCCCAAGCAGCUUGAGAUGUGAUGAUGGAGACCAGUUUGAGAAGACCCAUCAUCUCUGAUUUCCCUCUGAUUAUGAAGUAAUACAACAAAGCUACACCAGAGCCAUGGUACCAGCAUGAACAGCUUUCAUUCAUCUGACUUCACCAGAGCCAAUGGGAUCUCUGACUCUAGAAUCAUAGAUCCACCACCAGCUUGCUCCCUGCACCUGGAAAAGUGGCAGGCACUCAACAGCUUGUGAGAACAGCCAUUCAGGUGAACCCUGCAAGGCCACAGGGGUGGAGCUGCCCAAGGCCUUGGGAGUCCACCCCUUGCACCAGUGUGCUCUGGAUGUGACACACAGAGUCAAAGAAGAUUAUUUUGGAGCUCUAAGAUUUAUUUACUGCCCUGCUGGAUUUUAGACUUGUGUGGGACCCAUAACUCCUUUCUUUUGGCUGAUUCCUUCCUUCUGGAACAGGAGUGUUUACCCAAUGUCUGCACUCCCAUUGUAUCUUGGAAAUAAAUAACUUAUUUUGAUUUUACAGGCCUAUAGGUAGAAGGAGAUGAGUCUCAAAUGAGACUUUGGAGUUAGACCUGGGACUUUUGAUUUAAUGCUGGAAUAAGUUAAGACUUUGGGGGACUACUGAGAAAGCAUGAUUGUAUUUUGCAAUGUGAGAAGGACAUAAGAUUUGAAGGCAAGGGCGGGGAUAGAAUGUUAUAGUUGGGUAUUUGUCCUGCCAAAAUCUGAUGUUGAAAUGUAAUCCCCAAUGUGGAAGGUGAGUCCUGGUGGGAAGUAAUUGGGUCAUGGAUGCAGAUCCCUCAUGAAUGGCUUAGUGCUGUCCUCAUGAUAUCACAUGAGUUUUAUGAGAUCUGGUCAUUUAAAGAUGUGUGGCAUCUCCUCCCUCUGUUAUUUGCUCCUGCUUCCACCAUGUGAUGUGCUUAUUCACGCUUUGCCUUCCACCAUGAUAAAAACCUCUCUAAGCCUUCACCAGAAGCUGAGAAGAUGCCAGUACCAUGUUCCCUGUAAAGCCUACAGAACUGUAAGCCAAUUAAACCUCUCUUCUUUAUAA